rnacentral:lncRNA from 1 species
CAUCAUUUGAUUUGGGUGUUUUAACACCUAAAUCUCCAGUAAAAAGACAACAAUCUGUCCAUGCAAGUGGAAAAGAAAGUGUUCCUGCAUCGCCGAGAGAAAUACGAGUUGAAACUCGAACAAAGCACUUGCAGGAGGUAGAUGCAACCGGUGUUGAAAUUGAAGCCGACAAAUAACGCAAGCGAAAGGGGAAAAGCUUGAUGGCGGAUGAUGAUGAUUUUGUGGACGAUUCACCCAAAGUUCAAAAAACAAAAAUACAGAAGGUGUCUCAUUC